AAAGAUAUAACCUGGAAGAACCAACAAAAAUCAACGAAUGAGUUCUCUCUCUCUCUCUCUCUCAGACUUAUAAACACCGCCGCCUCUCUUUCCUCUCUUCGCUUCGUGUUUUAAAGUUUUGUUACAGGAAGAAGUGAUUGUGGAUCGGGUCGGAUCGGCGCAGAUCGAACAAAAUCUAGUGGAAUUGUAUCCGAGUAUAAUGCGCAAUCAACAGGGGUUGGAGGGCAGAACAACCUGAAGAACAUGCGGAGGUCGACGGUCCUUCAUUCUUUCCGAGAUCAAUUUCAGCGACAUUUUCUGUGUGCCAUUCAUAGGAGUGCACAGAGCUUUACUUGGACUUAUUCAGUUGUUGCGCAUCUACCCAGAUGGUGCAUUGGGUUCAGUAGGAUACAAUAAGAAAAAAAGGCGUGCCCUGGCCAUCAAAUCUCGUAAAGCACCCCAAAUAUUUGGCACUUCUGAACGUCAGAAGUUAAUUAAUGAGAUUCAUGAUUAUAUGCUCAGCAAGACACCCCCUCUUCCUUCAAACAGGGGAAGGGAUAUCCAGGCGAGUUACCAAAAUGAUUUAGACAAAACAAUGCGAAGCAUCCAUAUCUUGGUUGGGAAUACAAUUAAUGCUAACAACUCCAAGCAGGUAGGAAUUUACGAUUUUUAGAAUAACUGCUCCAAGAAAGCAAAACAAGACGUCUCCAGUAGAUAAACCAGCUCGACUUCCAGAGAAGACAACCAAGAGUGAUGAACUGUGGGUGAUCUGUAGUGUAGCCCUCUUUUUUUUUUUCUUUUUUUUUUAAUUUUUUUAUUU